rnacentral:rRNA from 1 species
AGUGAACGCUGGCGGUAGGCCUAACACAUGCAAGUCGAACGGCAGCACAGUAAGAGCUUGCUCUUACGGGUGGCGAGAGGCGGACGGGUGAGGAAUAUAUCGGAAUCUACUUUUUCGUGGGGGUUAACGUAGGGAAACCUACGCUAAUACCGCAUACGACCUACGGGUGAAAGCAGGGGAUCUUCGGACCUUGCGCGAUUGAAUGAGCCGAUGUCGGAUUAGCUAGUUGGCGGGGUAAAGGCCCACCAAGGCGACGAUCCGUAGCUGGUCUGAGAGGAUGGUCGGCCACACUGGAACUGAGACACGGUCCAGACUCCUACGGGAGGCAGCAGUGGGGAAUAUUGGACAAUGGGCGCAAGCCUGAUCCAGCCAUACCGCGUGGGUGAAGAAGGCCUUCGGGUUGUAAAGCCCUUUUGUUGGGAAAGAAAAGCAGCAGGUUAAUACCCCGCUGUUCUGACGGUACCCAAUGAAUAAGCACCGGCUAACUUCGUG